AAAUUAGUUCUGCCCAAUGAUUUAAUUAUUUAAUGGCUGCAGUAUUUUAACUGUGCGAAGGUAGCAUAAUUAUUAKUUUAUUAAUUAUAAACUUGUAUGAAUGGUUUGUUGAAAUUUAAGCUUUCUUUGGAUUAUUUUUUGAAUUUACAUUUCUUGUUAAAAUGCGAGGAUUUAUUUAUAAGACGAGAAGACCCUGUAAAACUUAAAUAUAUUAAUUUUAUAUAUAAAAUUAAUAUAUUUAGAUUGGGGAGAUUUUGAAAUUUUAAUAACUUUCAUUUAUUUUAUUUCGUUAAUUAUUGUUAUUUUGAUUAUAAUAAUAGUGUGGAUUGGUUACUUAAUGUGUAUUAGGUUCGUUUGUUC
rnacentral:rRNA from 1 species